ensembl:snRNA
GUGUUGUAUGAAAGGAGUGAAGGUGAGCACUCCCCUUGAUAAGGAUAGAAGAGGGCCUCGGGCCUGACAACACACAUACAGGAAUAUGCACCAUAAGUUUCCACGAGAGAGAGUUUGGAAUGCUUCUCAAACUGGUUUU